CCACUUCAACAAUUUAAUUAUGGUCUUCUCCUAUUGACCCCCAAAGAAAAAAAAAGAAAAAAAAAACUAUUUACACGGGAAAGCUCUGUGACGCCCUCGAUUCAAUCGUACACUAAUCAUACACGCAAAUGUGUACGAUCAAGAUCAAGGACUCACAGGAAGAUAUCACAACACAACUCUAGACACAAAUUAAAAUAAUACAAGCUUUAUAUUACAAGCCAGGGGCCUCGAGGGCUCGAAUAUACAAGAGUCAGCGGAAGCAACAAUAUCUGAGUACAAACAUAAUUUAGACAAGUGUGCCUUAAGAAGGCUAGCACAAAAGCAACAAUGAUCGAAAAGGCAAGGCCUCCUGCCUGGGAGCCUCCUAACUACUCCUAGUCAUCUGCGGUCUUCACGUAGUAGUAGGCAUCCUCCGGGUAGUACUAGUCUUCACUGGCGUCGUCUGGCUCCUAGGAUCCGUCAUCUGGUCGCAACAACCGGGUAUAGGGGAAAAAGAGGUAGCAAAGCAACCGUGAGUACUCAUCCAAAGUACUCGCAAGACUUACAUCAGAUCUAAACCAAGUAUGCAUCUGUAUCGAAGGAGAUGGGUUGUAUCUGUGGACUAAACUGCAGAAUGCCAGAAGGGAAGGGGAAAGCCUAGCCUAUCGAAGACUAGCAUCUUCUGGAAACCACCAUCUUGCAGCAACAGGAGGGAGUAGAGUAGCAUAAAGUAAGUAGUAGUAGUGUUAUCAACCUCGGCCAGAGAUCCUUUCUCGACUCCCUACGAGAAAGCAAUCCCAGAGCCAUACUAUCCAGUUAUCAUCUCAUAUCCAAGUCUCAUCUCCAUGUCUCAUCACAAGUAUCUAGUUCUAGUUGUAUCGAUCGAAAUACAACUCCAAGUGUCCGUUACCGUAGGACAGGCUAUCGAUAGAUGUUUUCUUCCCUGGAGGAGUGCACCAACUUACCCACCACGCUCAAUUAACUCCGGCCGGACACACUUUCCUGGGUCAUGCCCAGCCUCAGCCAAAAAAUACACCGCAACCCGACCUAGGCUUAAUAGAGAGGUCAGCACGCCGGACUAAACCUAUGCCCCCAAGGGUCAUGGGCCAUCUCCCCGGGAACUCCUGCAUGUUGCGUGGGCGGCCGGUGAGCAGAUCUAGCUACCUCCUUCAAAAAGGUAGGUGCUUACCAGUCCAACCCGGCGUGCGCCGCUCAGUCGCUGACGUCUAUUAAGCUUCAGCUGAUGUAUACGACGCAGAACGCCCAUACUAUGCCCACGUGAUGGUUAGUGCUAUCAGGCCAGAGGCCCCUCGGAUGAAAUAUCCAAAUCGUAGUGGAUUAGGAACGCGCGGUAACGAGUAGAGACUCAUGAUCGAUGUGACCCCGUCACCCCGUCUCAAGUACUUGCGACAAGGGCUAAGAAUGCCCGGCCACGCCUCGUAAGUAUCUCGCGGGCACCUUCCAGGUCAACCCGACUCCACAUCACUCGCUAUUAAGCUUGCACGGGUACCCCUCAGGGCCUACCCAUCUUUAGUAACAUGGUUCAGUUGUAAAGCCAUAGUAACCAUAGUAACUGUGUGUCUAACACCAAGGGGGAAAACCGAGGAAUCACCCCCGGUGAAUUCCACUCGAUGUUAUCAUCAAGGUGAACGUAAGAGGAUCCACCCUCGAGGUUCACACUUGAGAAGUUGCACGACAGAGCCGUAACGGAAGUGGUUAAGGAGGAAAUCACCCUCGAUGACCAUGAUCGAAUAGCUACACUACAGGGUAACAUCAGAAGUGCUGAUGAGGUCUCACCCCCGGCACUCGAUAGCAACCCAGUAGUGUCGAGCAAACAAGGGGAAAGUGAUGUGCGGUGUCGGGGCCAGGUCUUCUAUCCCGUUGAUCGGGUCUUCAAUGAUGAAGCAGGGGCAACAAGGACAAGGUGGGGGGGUCACUGAUGGAUCACUAACCAACCUAUACUAAGCAGUUUAGGAUAAGCAGGUAAGGUAUGAAAGGAGGUAACAACAACAGGCUAUGCAUUAGAGUAGGAUCAUACAGAAAGUAGUAGCAGUUCUAAUGCAAGCAUGAGAGGGAAAGAAAUGGGCGAUAUCGGAAUGCUCAAGGGGGGUUUGCUUGCCUGGUUGCUCUAGCAAGGGGGGGGUCGUCGUCGACGUAGUCGAUCACAAGGGCAGCAUUGGUCUCGGGGUCUACCGGAGAGAAGAGGGGGAAGAAACAGUAAAUACAAAGCAAACAAUGCAUCACAAAAAUAUAACAAGGCAAAACACGGUGCAAGGGGUGACCUAACGCAGUACUAGGCGAUACUGGUGAAGGGGAGAAACAUCCGGGGAAAAAAGCCCCGGUGUUCCGCGUUUUCGGACAGAUGAAACGGAGGAGGAAAGUUGCGUGUUCGCUAUGCUAGGGAUGCGUGGCGGACGAACGAGUUGCGUAUCUGGAUUUGUCUCGUCGUUCUGAGCAACUUUCAUGUACCAAGUUUUUCGAUCCGAGCUACGGUUUAUUUAUAUGAUUUUUCAAAGUUUUACUCAUUUUUUGAAAUUAUUAUUAAUUCAAAAUUAAUAUGAGAAAAUGCUAUGGGUACCCAGCCUUGUGUACACAGAGGUUGACAUGUGAGCCAAGGGACCCAGUUGACCAGUCAAAGUUUGACUGGUCAACAAAGGGUGGGGGUCCCCUGUCAUUGACUGACUAGUAAACUAACAACUUUAGUUAGACUAAUUAUGUAGUUAAUAGGUUAAUUAACAUGAUUAAUUAGAUUAAUUAAUUAAUUGACUUUAUUUUUAUUAUUUUUAAAUCUUUUUUUAUUAAAAUGUUCCAGGGCAGGGCCCCACAUGUCAUAGGCCCAAAGGGUUCUAUCGGGCGCCGGGUGCAGCGGCAAACGGGCGCCUGGAGCGGCGCAACCCGGCUGGGCUCCCGCCCAAGUCGACAGGGGAGGGAAGGGCGCCAGGGCGCCGGCAGCUGCGGCGAGCUGCGCCGGGCAGGAGGCAGCAGAGGAGGUGGCGCGGCCCGAGUAGAGGAGGGGGACGCUCGCGGGGAAGCAGGGGGAGACGGAGGCAAGGGGCGCCGGUGGCCAUGGCCAGAGCGGGGAGGCGGCGGACGCCGGCGAAGGCAGCCGCGCGGGGAUGGGGAGCAGGGCCGGCCGUAGCCAAAGUCAGGUGCGGACGGGGCGCGGCCUGGGAGCGUGGUGAGCACAACCGCAGAGGGAGGAGGAGGCCAGUGGGGUUCCUCACCCGCGUUGCAGGGGAGGCCCGAUGCAGGGCGAACGCGACGGCAGGGAGCGGUGGAGUCGAGGAGGUGUUCCGGCGGGGUCCGACGAGGCGCGAGGCGGCGGCGACCUCGACGGCGUCGAGCAGGCGUCUGGCCACGAGGGAGAGGGGACGGGGCCGCGAGGAGGACGGCGACGUCGGGGCGAUGGAGGACUAGGCGGCGACGGGCGGCGACGCGGCGGUCCGGCGAGGUGGCGAUGGUCGGCACCGAGGCGAGGUCGCCAGGCGAUGGCGCGUCCAGAUCGGGGGAGAGGGGGCGCCGCGGCGAGGUCUGGCGCAGUGGUGAUGGUUGGCGGGGCGCGGGCGAUGGUGAGCUGCGAUGUGGCNNN
rnacentral:lncRNA from 1 species